GGGCUUCGAGCGUCCCCGGGCGCUACAGGUGGGUGAAGUUAAGUGGCUGCUGGAGCGUCUCGGGGGACAGCCAGUGUCUGCGGCGCCGAGAGGGCCGUUCGUGGACUCAAAUGGGUAUCACCCCUACCGUUUAUAGUCCUCCCAAUAGUCUGCAUCUCGUUUUGUCGUGGCUGGUCGUGUACUCCUUGUGGAGUCUGAAGAUAAUCAAGCUAAGCACACAGGAUGACUGCCCAAGAAGCAAGUGACCGCAAUGGUGAAGCUGGGCCUCCACCCUGCCGUCUGGCUGACUUCAAGGCCUGCACAGCCUCUUAAGCCGCAUCCUGCUUGCUGCCUCCAAGCUUUCCUGACUGCAGCCUUUUCUCCAGUCACUUUUGAUAGAGGAGUUAAGAAGAAAUUACUUAGGCAGAUAGUGAGGGUAUGGAAGUCCUCGGUAAGGUUUUCCUUUUAAUGAAAAGCAGCCCCAAAUCAUUUUCCUUUCUAACAAACAGCAGCCUGUAAAAUCAAGCUGCAGACAUAGAUGCCGGCAGUUGUGCCAAUCAUGUUCAGAAUGGUGGCUCCCUUCUCCCUUCUCUGCCAGCCAUAUGUACAGUAAGGAGCAGACAACAUGGCUCGGGCCAAGGGUAAAGUUGAUUUGCAUAAUAAGAUUAGGGUGGGGCCCACCAGCCUUCCCCUGCACUAUGUAAACAUCACGCCUGACUGAACCAAUCUGUGAGCCCUAUGUAAAUCAGACAAUGCCUUCUCAAGCCUGACUAUAAAAUCCUGUGAGUCCACUGCCAGCCAGUCUUUCCUCUGGGAAGCCCCUCUCUCUCCCUAGAGAGAGCUGGUUUCCUUUCUCCUUUCUUUUUCUUUUGCAUAUUAAACUUCCACUCCUAAACUCCU
rnacentral:lncRNA from 1 species